UGAACAUUGAACCUUUCUGUGGACAUUCAUUUACGUUUGCGUAGAAUUUUCUUACAACAUGAACUAACCAAAGCUCUCCAAUUUCUGUCCAGUAAAGAAGUGAAGAAAAACAAACUCAAAAAUGCCUGAUGCAGUUCGGAUAAAGUUAUAAAGAACAUUUAAAAACAGAAAAUGCUACGCUAUAGCAAUGGAGGAAGAAUAAGCAAAAGCAUGUCCCUUUGAUGGGGGCAAAACAGAUUGUAAUUUCUUUAUCAUUUCAUUGAUCUCCCUCAGCUUGUCUGUGUUAUCAGAUUGCUGUAAAAAUCUCUCCAACAUCCGAUAUACAACUUCACUCAAACGCAUUCCUCUCUCCAAAAAUUGUUUCGAGCACUCGAAUGCUUCUUGCAACCUCCCCCGCGAGCACAAUGCUGUAACUAACAGAUCCAAUGCAUGACCAUGGGGACAAUAUCCCUUCUCCAACAAGUAUUGCCAAAAAUCCAAUCCCAAAUCAACCUGGCCAUUUACACAAAAGAAUUUCAUCAACAUGACCAUAGUCUGAGUUUUCGGAACAAAUUUCCUGCCGAUCAUCUUGUGGUAAAGCUCAUAAACGCCCUCAGUGUCAUUCUGUUUCAGCAAUCCCAAGAAAAUUGUAUGAUAGGUCACACCAUCAUGACCAAUAUGCUUCUCUUCCAUCUCAUCCAUCAAACUCAUGGCAGACUUCAAUUCUCUACAUUUAAUGAGUGAGCUGAUCAAAGCAUUAUAAGCCCCAGUGUCAGGCUGCAAGUUUCUCCUGCAAAUUUCAUCAAAUAAUUGCCUGGCCUUGAUUGCAUUUCGAGCAACCCCAGCUCCAUGAAUCAAAGUAGUGAUCGCUUCCAAUGUAGGCAGGCAAUUAAUCCGUUCCAUUUCUUCAAAGAUUCUUAAACCAUCACCAAAAUAACCUUUCUUACAGUAAGCAUCAAUCCGAAUAUUAUAAGUUAGAGUGGUUGGCUUAAAGCCUCUUCGAAGAAUCUCAUGGUAAAAAAGCUCCAUUGCAGUAACAUCUCCUGAUUCCUUAAAUCCCAAAAGCAAGAUAUUCAUGGUCUUGGCAUUUGGAUUAAAUCGAUCAUGCAUCUUUUGAAACACUGAACGUGCCUCUUUCACCUCCCUUUGAGUGCAAAAUGCUCGAAGGAGUACAUUGAACUCUUCAGUACCAAAAGUCUUCCCGACAAAAACCUCUUUCUCCAUCCUAUCAAAUGCUUCAAGAGUGUCUUCAUAGGAUUGAAACUUGGCAAUUUUUGAUAGCAUGAUGCUCAUUGACUUAAGGGUAAGCAAGGAAGGGUGUGUUUUUCCAAUUUCCACCAUAAACUCCCAAGCUUUCUCAAAAUACCGCAUCCGUGUAAGGAUGUGGAGAGUCACUUCAAAGGCAAAUGAACUCGGAAUAAAAUGGGAAUGAUGUAGGGAAAACCUGAAGAACUCCAAGGCUUUGAGGCCAUUGGAAUGAGCUGCAAAAAGGCGGCCAAGAACAUUCUCAACAAAGACCGUAGAGAGAGACCCCGGUGAGAGAUGCUUCAAGAGGGUGGGGUGUAACGGUUCAUCAGGAAAGCAAUUAUCGUUGAUGAUUUUGGUAAUUCUUUCAACUUCAGUCAAGCUGGAUAAUUUACAAGUAAUAAGGAAAAGAAAAUGAGGUCGCUUGCGAGUGAUUUGAAAGAGUUGAUUACAUCUGCUCAAUGUUAACAAAGAAAGCAUUAUCCUUAUUCCCUUGUGAAAUUUAGAUUGCAACUAGUCUUCCAUUUCAGGCCACAACACGUCAGCACCUUUGAUGCUGCAAUAGAUUACUAACAGAGGAAAUAUUUGUGCAGAAGUGAUCAUUCACUGCUUCUACCUCAGCUUCAAAGAUCUUACACAGGAAAAAUCAGGGAAAAGACCAAUUAACCACAUUUAUAGAAUGUUGGGACGGCAGCGAUGACAAGGCUUGUAAAAGCUAUAGAAUUCUGCAUGCAUUCAAAUUUACUAAUAUUUAUAAGCAAUAAGCCAAGUUAAUAAAUCUCACUGUCAAAAAAUUCAAUUCCAUACAACAUGGU
rnacentral:misc_RNA from 1 species